rnacentral:rRNA from 1 species
UACAGAGGGUGCAAGCGUUAAUCGGAAUUACUGGGCGUAAAGCGUGCGCAGACGGUCUCGUAAGUCGGGUGUGAAAUCCCCGGGCUCAACCUGGGAAUUGCAUUCGAAACUGCGAGGCUAGGGUACGGAAGAGGGAAGCGGAAUUUCUGGUGUAGCGGUGAAAUGCGUAGAUAUCAGGAGGAACACCGAUGGCGAAGGCAGGUCUCUGGGCAUUAACUGACGCUGAGGAGCGAAAGCAUGGGGAGCGAACAGG